AAUAGUAGCGGAAGGGUUUGUAUGAGAAUUGACGACCCCAAAAAGACUAAAGGCUAUGUUUUUGCUUGAACUUUAAUGAAAUUAAUGGAGAAUCCUCCACUUACUAUAUCAUGCUACUACUUGUAAUUGGUAACAGAAAGCAAAUGAGCAAAUGGAGCUAAGGGAAGGUACACAAAUUGUACUAGUAAACUUUGGACCUGUGUUCGAGGCAUCUGGUGGUGAACAACCUCAUCUUUCAGGUGGUCACCUGUGGCCCUGUGAGUUGUCUCUGGCCAGGUCCAGGACCAGAUAAUUCAUGAGAAGAGAGGCAUAGGAAUGCUGAUUUGGGUGCCGUGAUAACUGCAAUUUCUACCUGAAAGCACAACCAUUUGUCCUGGCGGCAUCUCCCUGGGGUACUCCAUUCUGAAAAAGAAAAAUGGAUAAUAAAACUCACCACAAAUGGCCUACUUCAAUUUUUGACAAAAUAAGCAAGCAGGAAUUUAAGAAGGAUAUUUUCUUGCUGAUGUCUUUAUAAAAAAUCAGUGGUGGUUAUAAGAGGUUUCAGCUCCUCUUUUUCAAGCCAAUCAUAAAUAAUUCCCUAGAGAAGCUACCUUGCGCAGCUUCAGAGGUGCAUUGUCAUCCACUAAUCAUGGCAGCUCUGCCAAACUGUGUCUGGUGCAGUGUGAUGGAUGGAUGUGAUUUGAUGAAUGGCAUA